rnacentral:rRNA from 1 species
AGCUUAUUGUUUUUUAUAAUAGGUAUUUUCUGCUCAGUGUAAAAUAAACAGCCGCGGUAUUUUGACCGUGCAAAGGUAGCAUAAUCAUUUGUUCUUUAAUUGGGGACUGGAAUGAAGGAAAGUUUGAGAUUUUAUCUGUCUCUUUUUUAUGUUAUAAUUUGCUGUUUUUGUGAAGAAGCAGAGGUUUAAAAAAAAGACAAGAAGACCCUUUUAAGCUUUAUUUUUAAUUUUUAUUUUGUCUAUUUUAGUAUUUUAAUAAGAAAGAAAAAAUUUGGUUGGGGUGACUUGGGAAGAUAAGAAUCUUCCUUAGAGUUUAAAACAAUUUGUUUAAAAGUGACCC